AUUGAACGCUGGCGGCAUGCCUUACACAUGAAAGUCGAACGGCAGCACGGGUGCUUGCACCUGGUGGCGAGUGGCGAACGGGUGAGUAAUAUAUCGGAACGUACCUUAUUGUGGGGGAUAACGCAGCGAAAGCUGUGCUAAUACCGCAUAAUCCCUAAGGGGGAAAGCGGGGGACCGUAAGGCCUCGCGCAAUUAGAGCGGCCGAUACCUGAUUAGCUAGUUGGUGAGGUAAAGGCUCACCAAGGCAACGAUCAGUAGCUGGUCUGAGAGGACGAUCAGCCCCACGGGGACUGAGAGACGGCCCAGACUCCUACGGCAGGCAGCAGUGGGGAAUUUUGGACAAUGGGGGCAACCCUGAUCCAGCAAUGCCGCGUGAGUGAAGAAGGCCUUCGGGUUGUAAAGCUCUUUUGUCAGGGAAGAAACAGCAGCUCUAACACAGUUUGCGAAUGACGGUACCUGAAGAAUAAGCACCGGCUAACUACGUGCCAGCAGCCGCGGUAA
rnacentral:rRNA from 1 species